CAUAGGUUAAUGAGGCGAACCGGGGGAACUGAAACAUCUAAGUACCCCGAGGAAAAGAAAUCAACCGAGAUUCCCCCAGUAGCGGCGAGCGAACGGGGAGGAGCCCAGAGCCUGAAUCAGUGUGUGUGUUAGUGGAAGCGUCUGGAAAGGCGCGCGAUACAGGGUGACAGCCCCGUACACAAAAAUGCACAUGCUGUGAGCUCGAUGAGUAGGGCGGGACACGUGGUAUCCUGUCUGAAUAUGGGGGGACCAUCCUCCAAGGCUAAAUACUCCUGACUGACCGAUAGUGAACCAGUACCGUGAGGGAAAGGCGAAAAGAACCCCGGCGAGGGGAGUGAAAAAGAACCUGAAACCGUGUACGUACAAGCAGUGGGAGCACAGAGCAAUCUGUGUGACUGCGUACCUUUUGUAUAAUGGGUCAGCGACUUAUAUUCUGUAGCAAGGUUAACCGAAUAGGGGAGCCGAAGGGAAACCGAGUCUUAACUGGGCGUUAAGUUGCAGGGUAUAGACCCGAAACCCGGUGAUCUAGCCAUGGGCAGGUUGAAGGUUGGGUAACACUAACUGGAGGACCGAACCGACUAAUGUUGAAAAAUUAGCGGAUGACUUGUGGCUGGGGGUGAAAGGCCAAUCAAACCGGGAGAUAGCUGGUUCUCCCCGAAAGCUAUUUAGGUAGCGCCUCGUGAAUUCAUCUCCGGGGGUAGAGCACUGUUUCGGCAAGGGGGUCAUCCCGACUUACCAACCCGAUGCAAACUGCGAAUACCGGAGAAUGUUAUCACGGGAGACACACGGCGGGUGCUAACGUCCGUCGUGAAGAGGGAAACAACCCAGACCGCCAGCUAAGGUCCCAAAGUCAUGGUUAAGUGGGAAACGAUGUGGGAAGGCCCAGACAGCCAGGAUGUUGGCUUAGAAGCAGCCAUCAUUUAAAGAAAGCGUAAUAGCUCACUGGUCGAGUCGGCCUGCGCGGAAGAUGUAACGGGGCUAAACCAUGCACCGAAGCUGCGGCAGCGACACUGUGUGUUGUUGGGUAGGGGAGCGUUCUGUAAGCCUGUGAAGGUGUGCUGUGAGGCAUGCUGGAGGUAUCAGAAGUGCGAAUGCUGACAUAAGUAACGAUAAAGCGGGUGAAAAGCCCGCUCGCCGGAAGACCAAGGGUUCCUGUCCAACGUUAAUCGGGGCAGGGUGAGUCGACCCCUAAGGCGAGGCCGAAAGGCGUAGUCGAUGGGAAACAGGUUAAUAUUCCUGUACUUGGUGUUACUGCGAAGGGGGGACGGAGAAGGCUAUGUUGGCCGGGCGACGGUUGUCCCGGUUUAAGCGUGUAGGCUGGUUUUCCAGGCAAAUCCGGAAAAUCAAGGCUGAGGCGUGAUGACGAGGCACUACGGUGCUGAAGCAACAAAUGCCCUGCUUCCAGGAAAAGCCUCUAAGCAUCAGGUAACAUCAAAUCGUACCCCAAACCGACACAGGUGGUCAGGUAGAGAAUACCAAGGCGCUUGAGAGAACUCGGGUGAAGGAACUAGGCAAAAUGGUGCCGUAACUUCGGGAGAAGGCACGCUGAUAUGUAGGUGAAGUCCCUCGCGGAUGGAGCUGAAAUCAGUCGAAGAUACCAGCUGGCUGCAACUGUUUAUUAAAAACACAGCACUGUGCAAACACGAAAGUGGACGUAUACGGUGUGACGCCUGCCCGGUGCCGGAAGGUUAAUUGAUGGGGUCAGCGCAAGCGAAGCUCUUGAUCGAAGCCCCGGUAAACGGCGGCCGUAACUAUAACGGUCCUAAGGUAGCGAAAUUCCUUGUCGGGUAAGUUCCGACCUGCACGAAUGGCGUAAUGAUGGCCAGGCUGUCUCCACCCGAGACUCAGUGAAAUUGAACUCGCUGUGAAGAUGCAGUGUACCCGCGGCAAGACGGAAAGACCCCGUGAACCUUUACUAUAGCUUGACACUGAACAUUGAGCCUUGAUGUGUAGGAUAGGUGGGAGGCUUUGAAGUGUGGACGCCAGUCUGCAUGGAGCCGACCUUGAAAUACCACCCUUUAAUGUUUGAUGUUCUAACGUGGACCCGUGAUCCGGGUUGCGGACAGUGU
rnacentral:rRNA from 1 species